rnacentral:rRNA from 1 species
CAGUAGCCGCGGUAACACGUAGGGGGCAAGCGUUGUCCGGAAUUACUGGGCGUAAAGCGUGCGCAGGCGGUUCGUUAAGACAGAUGUGAAAUCCCCGGGCUUAACCUGGGAACUGCAUUUGUGACUGGCGAGCUAGAGUAUGGCAGAGGGGGGUAGAAUUCCACGUGUAGCAGUGAAAUGCGUAGAGAUGUGGAGGAAUACCGAUGGCGAAGGCAGCCCCCUGGGCCAAUACUGACGCUCAUGCACGAAAGCGUGGGGAGCAAACAGGAUUAGAUACCCCUGUAGUCCCUGUCUCUUAUAC